GUCCUAGCCGUAAACGAUGGGCACUAGGUGUGGGAGGUAUCGACCCCUUCCGUGCCGCAGCUAACGCAUUAAGUGCCCCGCCUGGGGAGUACGGCCGCAAGGUUGAAACUCAAAGGAAUUGACGGGGCCCGCACAAGCGGUGGAGCAUGUGGUUUAAUUCGACGCAACGCGAAGAACCUUACCAGGGCUUGACAUCCCGCGAAUCCCAUCGAAAGGUGGGAGUGCCCGCAAGGGGAGCGCGGAGACAGGUGGUGCAUGGCUGUCGU
rnacentral:rRNA from 1 species